rnacentral:pre_miRNA from 1 species
ACAACAGUCGGACCGUUGGUCCAUUGAGAAAUAUCAUGCGCUCGGUAGAAGAUCUUCACUCCGUCGU